AUGCAGUUCUCACCAAAUGUUAUCCAUCACCCUAACCCCUGCAUGCUUCUCCUCCCCAAAAACCUCAUCUCGUACCACCGACCUUCCAGGGUCUCCUCCACCCAAUCCAAACACAGUGGAAUUUACGGGUACCACAGCUACUGUCUUCCAGAAACUUCUACAGCAGGUCACAGGGGUGAGAAAAAGAAUUCAGGUGGUUUGCAAAGAGGUCAAAAGAUAAACAUAUGGUGCUGCACGGUUGAGAAGUGGUUUGAAGGGAUGGUGGAGCGCUCAGCAGGACUGGAACCUACAGGUGGGAGACGGGAAGACGUGGUACCUGUCUGCCAUCCCUUCCACUUACAUAAUAUUAUUCGCUCUUAUUUAGCUGAAGUUUUUCUCCUCGAAGAAAAACGGACACAUGCUUUGAGACCUUACUUGAGUCCAUCCUUGCGCCCAGAGCAAAAUUCAAAAGUCUCAGCAAAUAUUUUGUGAUGAACUUGAAGCGAUUACAUGAUUUACAAUACUUUCCUUUAUGCAGCUGACAGUGAUUUAUUCUUUUGUAUAGCAGGGUAAUUUUUACUGUAUAAAUUCAGGAUACGGGCUUCAAUGAAGGGUACUGCAGCAGGAGCAAGGAUCUGAACCCGCUUCCUUUGAGCAGAAGGCACCUGCUACCUCCCGAAUGUGUGAAGACAUUCAACUGAAGUAUGUUGAACGACAGGAUCUCACACUGUCAUGAGACCUGUUGAUGUGUGAGAUGUUGGGAAAGUGAAGGGGCAGCUGCUAGUGUAGUGCAGGUUGCAGGUUCAAAUCCCACCUCCAGCCGUAGUUACCCCUGAGCAAGGUCUUUACCCUAAAUUACGCCAGUAAAAUUACCUAGCUGUGUAAAUGGGCAUGUAAUUGUAAGUUGCCCUGGAGAAAAGUGUCAGAUAAAUGUAACAUAAUAUAGAAAUUAGUCAUUUAUAUAUUAGUAAUAUAGAAUAUCUCAUAAAAUGGGUGGGGCCAAAUGCUCUGUUGGAUCCCUAAUUCUCAAGGCACAGGAGGGCUGCCAUAAUAUCAGGUCAUAUGCUGUAACCUGAUUUUCAACAAGCAGAAUGAGUUUCCACAGAGACGUUAACACGCCGAGGUCAAUGCAGCUCAACGUCUGUGCCGAGAUGACGGAGGCGGGGAGGGGUCUCAACCGGGAGAAGAACAUCUGUUUCAGCUGCAUGUUAAGGGCUCUUUCGCUUUCUCACUAUGGCUAUAAAUACCAUGCUCGGCCUCCUGGGACGACCCCCACCAGAGAGGGGCCCGGCGCACAUGGGGAGUGCAGGCGUAUGGCAACAUGUCCCUGCUUCUGAUUGGAUGCAGAAACCACCCCCAGGAGCCAAUCAGAAAGCCUGAAACGCACACGAACUGGCAAACGAGGAAUUCCACUGGGGAGGUGUUUCAUUUUUCCGCACAGCCUUCGGAUGAUCUGCCUGUUCAGGAUGCGAAGGGGCGAGAGCAAAACCCCUCAGCCAAUCCCUGCAUCCGUUGUUAUGUAAUAAGGGGGCGGGGCUUGGCUUUGAUUGGCAGCAGCUCAAUGCUGUCCAGCUGCCUUCUGCAGAGUCACUCGCGUCCACGAAACACGAUGCAAAAAACGGGUCGAGAUCACGAGCUCCGGGUGGGGGUGGGGGGUUUGACCGUUCAUACCAGACAGGCGGCAGGGGGGUGGUGUCUUUUUCAGCACUUCUGAUUUGUUGAUUUACUGAUGAAGUUGUGGUCCGUCUGUCCCCUGCGAUCAGGACAGCUGUGAGGGGUGUGUGGUGUAAACAGGGGGAUCGUUCCCUCCACAUGGGGUAUACAGGGGUCACGCUGGGUAUUGAACUUCUGUUUUCUGUAGGUAUUCUUGACAUAGGGGACCAAAGGUGUUUUUUCUUUUCUUCUUUCCCCCCUUAAUUUACUUGUUUUGGUUUAAGCUGAAAUUUAUUACGGUUUGACAGACUGGCUUCAUAAAGGAACGAGCUCCUGAUAAAAUAAUUCUCUUCAAAUCCCUUGUUUGUAGUUCACUCAAUGUAGCCCAGAGUAAAUUUACCAAAUGUUGAGUCAUAAUGUUUGUAAAGGAAUAUUUUAGAAAAAAUAAUAAUAAAUCCUCAACAAACAGCCCUGUGCCA
rnacentral:lncRNA from 1 species